GACGAACGCUGGCGGCGUGCUUAACACAUGCGAGUCGAACGGAAAGGCCCUGCUUUUGUGGGGUGCUCGAGUGGCGAACGGGUGAGUAACACGUGAGUAACCUGCCCUUGACUUUGGGAUAACUUCAGGAAACUGGGGCUAAUACCGGAUAGGAGCUCCUGCUGCAUGGUGGGGGUUGGAAAGUUUCGGCGGUUGGGGAUGGACUCGCGGCUUAUCAGCUUGUUGGUGGGGUAGUGGCUUACCAAGGCUUUGACGGGUAGCCGGCCUGAGAGGGUGACCGGGCACAUUGGGACUGAGAUACGGCCCAGACUCCUACGGGAGGCAGCAGUGGGGAAUAUUGCACAAUGGGCGGAAGCCUGAUGCAGCAACGCCGCGUGCGGGAUGACGGCCUUCGGGUUGUAAACCGCUUUCGCCUGUGACGAAGCGUGAGUGACGGUAAUGGGUAAAGAAGCACCGGCUAACUACGUG
rnacentral:rRNA from 1 species